rnacentral:lncRNA from 1 species
GGGUUAGAUCACAGAAGAGGCGUCUCUCAAAGUUAGGUACUUCCUAUCCCUCUUUGAUAGGAGGAAAGCAAUACUUGGCAAAAUUCUCAAAUGGCUCCCAGAUUUCCUACCUCCUCAGUGGACAUGCCCUGUGUAAUCCCCAGGUCUGUGACUAUGAUGGGUUUUACUCUUGUGAUUUAAUGAUGUUGUGUGGCACCAUUUACUUUAAGAGGGAUGAUCCAAGUGGGCCUGACCCAAUCACAGGAGCCCUUUAAUAGCAGAGAGUUUUCUCUAGCUGGUGGAAGCAGAUGAUGAGGAAGUCAGACAUUUAAAGCAUGAGAUGGACUGGACUUGCCAUUGCUGGCUUGAAGAUGGAGGGCACUACACGGUGGGGAAUAUGGGCAGUCUCUAGGAGUUGAGAGCAGUCUCUAGCAGACAGCCAGCGAGGGAAUGGCGACCCAUUCCUAUUACUGCUGGGAACUGAAUUCUGCCAACAAGAAUGAGCUUGGAAGUGAAUUUUCCCAGAUCCUCCAGACAAGAACUCAGUCCAACUGACACCUUGAUUUCAGCCUUUAGCUACUCUGAGCAGAGAACUCAGACUGGGAAAUUUAUUAUUUUCCAGUUAUUUCUUAUUUCCCACACUGGAUUUCUGACCUGCCAAACUGUGGGCUAAAAAAUGAGUGCUGUUUAAUGUCACUACAUUUGUGGUAAUUUGUUACACAACAAUAGAAAACUACUAUUACACUUUGGGAGGCCGAGGCGGGCAGAUCACCUGAGGUAAGCAGUUCAAGACCAGCCUGACCAAUAUGGAGAAACCUGGUCUCUACUAAAAAUACAAAAUUAGCCGGGCGUGUUGGCACAUGCCUGUAAUCCCAGCUACUUGGGAGGCUGAGGCAGGAGAAUCGCUUGAACCCGGAGGUUGUGGAAGCUUCAGAAGUCACAAGUUAUAACUAGCAAUGUAAAUCUAUUUUUUUGGAUGUUGCAGUGAGCCGAGAUUGCGCCAUUGCACUCCAGCCUGGGCAAUAAGAGCGAAACUCUGUCUCAAAAAAAAAAAAAAAAAGAAGAAGAAGAAAGGAAACUACUAUUAGUUUUCCAUAAUAUUUUAAUGUAAGAAAGUAAAUAAUUACAGUAGGAAUUAUCUGGACAGUGAGAUUAUGGGUCAUUUAUUCCCUACUUAAUAUUUUUUAAAAUAAAUAAAAAACCUUAAUAAAUAGAAUUAAAAAAACCAAGGAUGAGUUGUUAUCGUAAGGAGAAUAUGCCCUCUUUCAAAGUUGGAUAUAAAGUUACUAUACCUGAAGGGAGCCAUAUUUUCUCAUUGAUUUCCAUUUUAUGUUUUCAUUUAUACAUUCCUACCUCAUCCUAUAACAUUAUAAAUUAGCAAUGUGACUUCAUGAGAGAAAAUUUCCUUAAAACCAAAAAGCAAACCAAUUUGAAAACUUUCAUCAAGAGAGUGACCAAGCAGUUUAUUGAGGGACACUAGGACUAUAGGAUGGAAAAGGAAUGUCUGUUUGCUUUUGCCGGUAAACCCAGCCCCUCUCACAGGUCUUGGCAUACUGUCUGCUUCAACACUUAUUUGUCAGUUAAAACAAAUGAAUGUGCUUGUUGUCAAUGUUUCAUUUUAAAGACUUUAUAAGGUUCCUUCCACUCAGGGCUUCUCUUCCACCAUUUUGUUUCCUGCUUUAGAGGCAGAAACUCCUAUUCCUGUGUGAUUGUAUCAUUAAGUCCAAACAACUUAGCUUCCAUAGCAAAGUCACAGCUUAGCUUCCUGCCAGCUCUAUCCUGGACAUUUAUGGUAUCUGCUAUGGUCUGAAUGUUUAUGUCCUCCCCUACUCCCUGCCAAAUCCAUUUGUUGACAACAAAUCCCCAGUAUGAUGGUGUUAGGAUGGGUGCUCUUUGGGAGGUGAUUAGAUCAUGGGGGCUCAGUCCUCCUAAACAGGAUUAGUGCCUUUAUAAAAGAUGCCCUAGAGACCUGCCUUGUCCUUCCCACCAUGUGAAGAUGCAGUGAGAAAGUAGCCUCUUUGAUCCAGAAAUUGGCACUGUCACCAGACACUGAAUCUGCUGGUGCCUUGAUCUUGGAAUUCCCAGCCUCCAGAAUUGUGAGAAAUACAUUUCUGUUGUUUAUAAUCCAUCCAGUUUAUAAUAUUUUUAUUAUAGCAGCCGGAAAGGACUAAGACAAUAACUUACAAAGCUAAGCUACAGUAUCUCCAUUUAACCAUCUUGGGUGACUCUUUUACAAAUUAUUUGUUUCCUAUUGCUUUGCUAUUAUAAGUUUAAAUUCUCUAUAUACAGGAUUCUCAGCACUUUCACCUUCCUCAAAGAUGGGGAAUUUAUAGAUGGCAAAGACUAUUCUUAUUCCUCUGUUUUAUCUACAUACCCAGCACAGGGCCUGGCACAUAUAGCUGCCCCAUAAAUGUAAUAAAUGUUAAUAAAACAAAAUGAAUAUCUGUAUUGGGGAAAUGUUUUUUGAAGAUAAAAACGCCCUGCAGUUACUGGAAAAUUUAGGCCAACUUCUUUUAUUUAAUCAUUUAAAAGUCUAGCUAUGAGAUAGUUGGGAAGGACAUUUUAGUCUCAUAAUUAAAAAGAGUGAUGGCAGAAAGAAAAAAGAAAACACUAAAGAUUGUAGUGAAAUUACAGCCAAUGGGCAUCAGUUUCCCUUUCUCUGGUUGAUUUCAGGGGCAAUCUCACAGGGUAAGAAACUGCUUUUCUCCAUCCGUCCUGGCAGGGAGGCCUUCCUUUUAUUAUGUAGGUAUGUAAAAUUAUUGAUUUAAAGUCCCCAGGAAAUUUGACUUUUCAAAUAAGGGCACAUUCACUGGAAUAUGCUGCCUUUCCCUGCGUGCCGUUAGGGUCAUAGAGACAAUUAACAUGCAGUGGACCUAAGAGAACACAGCUAAUCCUCGUGCUUCCUUAGAUCUUCAAGUGGUUGCCAACAUAAAAAGUUUCUCCUUAACAGAGGACAUCUUGACCCUUGUGCUAAAUCUGUAUCAGUUUUUUUUUUUUCCCAACUCUGAGCUCUGAAGGCUCAAUUUAGCAUCCAAAGAAAUUGAGCUGUGUCCUUUCUCUUUUGUACGUCAUUACCAACAAUAAAGAGUUGAAGAAGAACUGGUGUGUUGGCUGACAAUUUUGUGAUGAUAUAUGACAGAGCAGAAUACAGCCUUACUUUUUGUCAUCUAUAGGGCCUCAGGUUAUUGACAAGAGUAGGUAUUUUUCAACUGGAACACAGAAGUGGGAUGGUAACUUCAUAUGCUCAGGUUACCAAGAACACCAAUCCCUUUGACACCCAGGGGCUGCGCAGGUGGCUAGCAAUGUUGAUAACAAGGUGGGGUGCUUUUCCGUUAGAGACCGUACAACCACCCUCCAAUGUGAUUGACUACUUCUCCUCACACAGCAUUAACAGCAAUCUUUUCAUAAAUUCGGGAAGUGGCAAUAGGGAAACUUCUUGUAAGUACUGGCAAGGGUGUUUUGCAUUUUAUAUCCCCCUAAGAAGGCGUCUGUGUUUUUUCUUAAGGCAAAUCUAAUCCUGUCACUAACUUUCUCUUAUUGUGUUUAUGCCUCCAGGAGGGAAAGAAGCACCCAAGAGCCUUCAUCUCUGUAGACCAGGAGUCCGAAAUGGAUGGUCUAUGCCUGUGCCACAUCCAGCCAGCAGGCAUUUACAUUUGGCUUGCAUAACGUUUAAAAUGAUUUGAAUCAGUUGCCAAAAACUAAAAGCCAGGAGAUUUUCAUGUAAAAAGAAAUCUAAAUUUUGGCUCUUCUUAAAAGAGGCCUAUGUUUUGGACCGGGAAGUCAUUGGACCCCAUUUCUCACACAGCAAGUGGAACUGGGUAGUGAUUGCCAGUUUACCACACGCAGGGUGGCUCCUAGAACAUACUUUCCCUGUGUGGGAAUUAGAAAGAAGCACUGCCUCUGCACAGGUGGAUUUUAAGGGUGCCCCAUUGGACAGGACACGGCCCAUGUGUAAUAGCUUUGCCACAAUUGCCACCAUCUCCUUGAGUCAGUUUACUCAUGUCUGAGCUUUCAGGCAUUUGAGUUUGUGACCCCUGCCAAAGCCUUUGGAGGAAGUAGCUGCCUGCAGCAUACAUCUUGAUGAAAGAGGGCUGGCCAGAGGGCUUUCUCUGAUUGCUUGCACACAGAGAUGGAGACACCAGCAUUUGUUUGACUUAGCUCCUGUGUUUUUCUGAGAACACAGCUGGAUAAUUUUGCAGGAAUUAUAUUCAUAGGCUAGGUCUCUGUAUCCUCAUGAUUCACUCUACUUCCUGAACCUCCACAAUCCCCCACCCCUGGCCGCAUGCUGAUUUGCCAUUUGUUCCUUUUUUCAGCUUAUGAGAGGAAGUGUCCAAGGAGAAUAUAGCAAGUUCUCUCCUAUGACACAGGGAUAUAACUCCUUUAACUUGAAGAGUUUGAGGCAGACUUCAUGAACCAUUUUUGAAUGAGCUGAUUCUAGUAUCUAUCUCUGUUGACAGCUUGCUCUUAUUAUACCCUUCCCCAAAGUGAACCCUGCAGCUACUGACAAUGGAUGAGGCCAAGGAGCUAAGGAGCCCCUCUGUGGCCUCAGCAUACCUGAAUAAUAGUCUCUCUGUGGCUCUCCAAGAACAGUGAGGUUUUCUUUUUUUCUUUUUUUUUUUUUUUUUUAGCACUGGAAUGACAAUCAUCAAAAUCAUUUACAAAAUGCAGUGUAAGUGAUGCUGUAUAAGGGGUGGUAAAAUGAAGUUAAUAUUAUACCAUUUGAUAGCUUAUAAACUGACUUAUAAUUAAGCAGUUGUAGGAUAAUUAAGUGUCUGUUUUGGCAGUAGCAUGGAUUUCAGAUUGGAAUUGAACACUGGCGUUGACACUAGUUAUUUGAACUGGACUAAUCAUUCAAUUCUGUGACCCUUAAUAGAAAAGUAGUUAAAUUAUAACAUGAAGGGUGAGACCUUAGAGUAGUUAAGAACUCAGGAGUCCUUUCUCCAUUCUAUCUUACUGGUUGGAUUCAGUAAACUUCAAAAUUCUCUACUCUUAAAAUGGAGGUAAAAAUCAUACCUUCCAAAUAGGAUUUUAUAUGAUUAAAUGAGAUAAUGCAUGUAUCUAACAUGUGAUAGGUACACAGUACUGCUGGCAUUGGAGUGCUCAGCUGGUAUAAAGUAGGUUUUCAAAAAUAUUGGUUUCCUCCAUCUUUCUUGGGUCUUACUGCUUUGGUGCUAAAAAUUUUAGCAAAUACGAGGAACUAAAGAUUGCUUUGCUCAAUAAAUAUUUAACAAAUUGCUUUUUACAGUGAAAAGUGUAUAUAUGUAUGAAAAUCAAGCUGCUUAGUUUAAAGGUGUGACUCCUUAACUAGGGCAGUUUAUGUGGAGAGUUAAAAAUAAUUUUAGAGUUUCAAAUACUGCAGGAUAAUGUAAUGGUUAAAACAAAAAUAAGAAAAUAUCUUUAAUAAUGCAAGUUACUGCCUGUUCCCUUUAGGAAUGAGUUCCUGGCUACAGAAGUCUUUAUCUAGACACCCAGAUCAAGCAGAAUACAAAGGUCACAAUGCCAAUUUCAUCUGAAACUUGUUUUGCAGUGCUUGAGUCUUGGUUUUUAGGAAAAGACUUGUGGUUGCUAUGGAACUGUUAAUAAUGAUUGCUGCCUGUAUCUCAAUUCUUCAUACUCCCAAUCUUCAAUAUAAAAUCACUUAGAUUUGGGCUCCAGGGCAGUAAACACACUUUUGAGCAGGAAUUAACUGGACUUGGGCAUUAGUGUCUUAAUGUAGGAAAUGACUUUCAUUAUAACCUUUACUUAUACUGGCAGUUAGGCUAUGUUAAGGUUUCCUAAUAGUGGGCUUAAUCGCAUGAGUGUCAAACUUUGCUCUUCUGGGUGAGCACUGCUAAAAGCAGAAACAUUUUGGGUUUUCAUCAGACAAUAAAUAUCAGAAGUCCUUGUUUUGUACAGAACUAGUCUUAGUGAGAGUAUUUUGUUUUCACAUAUAAAAAGAACCAGUAAUUCAGCCACAUACUGGAUUCCUAAGCAGAAAGAAGAAAAUAUUCCUGUUGAAAUAUAUACCUAUUUACUUUUAAAAGAAAUCUCACAGAAAAAUGACUUCUUUUUUGCUAUAUUUCUGUGAGAUUUGUGACCCAUGUAAUAGAUGCUUACAUCUAUUACAAUAGACCCAUGUAAUAACUCUAAAAUUCUUACUCCUGAAUUAUAUUUGUAAGAUAUGGAUAUCAGUCCUUAUUAAUGUAUAACCGAUCUUUGGGGAAAACUAAUCCAGUUCUUGAGCUCCAGGCAUAGAAAGUUAGGAAUGGGUUGUUGGAUGGGUGGGGAGAAGACAUAUCUAAUUUGGGGACGUUGCUGCCUCACCAGUUUGCAAGAAUAAUACGAAUAAAUCGCUUCAAUUUCCACAACUGUUUCUCUCUCUAAUCCCUACAGUGUGUGAUUUUCAACAAUUAUCUGGCCUUAUUCUCUGUUUUAUUGCUUAGGAUUUUAAUGCUUCAAAUGUGGAACAUAGAAUAAAUGUGAUUGCCAGUGAAACUUUAAAAAAAUGCUCAAGUGCAGUUUUCAGCUGACAUACAGCUAGUUUCCAACUUCUCAGCUGCAAGAAGUAACAACUCCAUAAAGGUUAAACAGGCUUGCUUUGGGCCCUGAGUAAAAUUAAGUCUUCUACCAACUCUAUGGCACUGCAGAAGACAAAGGAUUAUCUGUAUGAAUAAACUGAAUUUACAGGUCAAUACAUUCAUGUUUGCAGGACUAUUUAAAGUAUUAGAAGUUCUGAUAUAAUACAAGAAAAAUGCAGAUGUAACUAUCAAACUCAUCAAGCUGCUGCAGUAAAUUCAGAUACUCUCCAAGGCUGGCAAGGUGAUGUCAAAAAAGUUAAACUUGAAAAAUGAGACUUAGAUUUCUAAAUGAGAUCGGUUGGGGGAAGCAGAGUUAAUAGGGGAAAUCAAGACUGAAACAAUCAACAUUACUGCUACGUUUGGAGGACAGUUUAAAAAUCAAUUCUUUCUGCUUGUUCUAAAACUGUUCUGCCAAAGAAACUGACAUUGUUUCAUGCUUUUUAUUUUUCGGUUUAUUUAAUCUUCUUUAACACAGCCAUUGUUGGUUCAACAAUCCAAUAUUUGAGGUUACAU